CUGAUCCAGCCAUGCCGCGUGAGUGAAGAAGGCCUUCGGGUUGUAAAGCUCUUUCGGUCGGAACGAAAGGGUCCGGGCUAAUACCCCGGGGGGUUGACGGUACCCUAAGAAGAAGCCCCGGCUAACUACGUGCCAGCAGCCGCGGUAAUACCUAGGGUGCAAGCGUUAAUCGGAAUUACUGGGCGUAAAGGGUGGGCAGGCGGUUUUUUAAGUCCGAUGUGAAAUCCCCGGGCUUAACCUGGGAACUGCAUUUGAAACUGGGGGACUUGAGUGCGGAAAAGGGAGAUGGAAUUCCCUGUGGAGCAGUGAAAUGCGUAAAUAUUCGGAGGGCCACCCGUGGGGAAGGGCAUUCCCUGGACCGGUACUGAACCUCAUGCUCGAAUCCCUGGGGAGCCAACCGGGUUUGAUACCCUGGUAAGCCCCCCCCUAAAAUAUGGCGCCUGGGUGUGGGGGGGAUUUGUCCUCGUUCUCGGAGC
rnacentral:rRNA from 1 species